rnacentral:rRNA from 1 species
AGGAGUGGCUUCCGGAGCUAACGCGUUAAAUCGACCGCCUGGGGAGUACGGCCGCAAGGUUAAAACUCAAAUGAAUUGACGGGGGCCCGCACCAGCGGUGGAGCAUGUGGUUUAAUUCGAUGCAACGCGAAGAACCUUACCUACUCUUGACAUCCAGAGAAUUUAGCAGAGAUGCUUUAGUGCCUUCGGGAACUCUGAGACAGGUGCUGCAUGGCUGUCGUCAGCUCGUGUUGUGAAAUGUUGGGUUAAGUCCCGCAACGAGCGCAACCCUUAUCCUUUGUUGCCGGCACAUUAUGGUGGGAACUCAAAGGAGACUGCCGGUGAUAAACCGGAGGAAGGUGGGGAUGACGUCAAGUCAUCAUGGCCCUUACGAGUAGGGCUACACACGUGCUACAAUGGCGUAUACAAAGAGAAGCGACCUCGCGAGAGCAAGCGGAACUCAUAAAGUACGUCGUAGUCCGGAUUGGAGUCUGCAACUCGACUCCAUGAAGUCGGAAUCGCUAGUAAUCGUAGAUCAGAAUGCUACGGUGAAUACGUUCCCGGGCCUUGUACACACCGCCCGUCACACCAUGGGAGUGGGUUGCAAAAGAAGUAGGUAGCUUAACCUUCGGGAGGGCGCUUACCACUUUGUGAUUCAUGGCUGGGGUGAAGUCGUAACAAGGUAACCA